AUGGGUCUCUCUGCCCAAUUUUGGUGCAUAUUAAGCCAUAAUUCAUCAGCUUCCUCAUGUCUUAUUCAUCAAAGCCAUACACGGCAGCAAAUGGGGCUGCAUAAGAAAGGGACCAACAGCCUGGCCCCUGGCGGCAUCUCCAAGGGUCCUUCUGGGCAUGCCCAUCUCCCAGUGUCUGUGACCUCUGUACUGCCACAGGGCUUCCUUCCACAGGGCACUGUCCUGGACCCUGCUGUGCUGGGCAUGCACCCUGCCUGGCCCUCACACCUCCCAUCUCUGGAGAGUUGGGGGGGGUGCGUUAUACGUUGCCCCCAACUCCUGCCCCAGCUCCAUGGCCCACUUCCAAGAUGGGGGCCUAAGCAGGAAGAGGGCAAGAGGCUCCGACCAGCUGGGACAAGUGCUGGUGUCUGGACUCCAAGGCUGGCUUGGCCCCUUCUUCUGGCUCCCCGAGGGAAUGGUAAGAGAGAGCAUUCAGAGAGGUCACCUGCCUACGCCACUCCCUUUGGUGACUCUGCUAUCCUAAGAAGACUGGAGGCAGAGCCACAGUCCAGCACUCCAGGGAGCACUGAAAGCCAGCCCCAAGGGCACAAGCAGUCCAAUGGAACUGGGCUGAGAGCCCAGGUUGGGACCUGUCCGGUGUACUUCCUUGUUCUCUAAUGAACGUGAGCACGCGUCCAAAGCAAUCCAACAUCGACGGGGAAGCCAAUCAGAAGGAGGAGGACUGGUUGGGUUGGACCCUAAAACACAUUAUAUUCUUAAGAUCACAAUGAGUAACACAGUUUGUGCACAGUCAGGUGUUGGGGUGGGGGCGUCCAGAAAGAGGCUCAAAUACAAAUAUGAGAAGGGAACAGGUCACAUGCAAGAAGAAAAGAUGAAUUAUUCAGCAAAUAAUUCAAAACAUACAAUCAACCCAGCGUCUCAGGACAACUAAAUUGACAUUUAAGGGAGACUUUCAGAUUUCUGCCUCACUCCUUGACACUAAAAUGAAUUCUGAAUAGACCAAAGAUUUAAGAAGUAAAAAUGAAACCGUAAAACUACUAGAAGAAAGCGUAGGGUUAAAAAAAAAAUCCAUAAUCUUGAAUCAUUCUAAGAAUUAUACAGAACCUAGAAUCUGUAAAAUGAAGGAUUGUAUGCAUUCCACCUCAUAAAAAUAAAAAGUAGAUGUAUGGGGGGGAAACCACAAUAAAAAAGAUAAACAAUAAAGCAUGAAAAUAUUGGCAAUUCAUUUCACAAAGGGCCAUUUUAGGUGAUAUGGAGAAAUCAGUAAGAAAAAGAACAACAAUCCAAGAGAAAAAUGGGCAAAGACAUGAAAUGAAUCCAUCCAAAUCUGCUGAACCUCACUCAAAAUCAAAAGGGUGUAAAUGUAACUUACAACGCCAUGUAGACCCUCCUAGGUUCACACACUGGGCGGGCGGGGCUCGAGCCGGCGGGGCUCCCUCUGGUGGCAGGUGGAGGAACUGGGAGAGGCAGGGAGGGGGGACUGCAAGUACCCGGCUGGUGGCACCAGAACACCCACGAUACCUCUGGAGGAUGUAAGAAGGGGGAUCUGUGGGCAUCGGGGAGCU
ensembl:lincRNA